rnacentral:rRNA from 1 species
GUGCCAACUGGGUACACUAUGAGAUGGACCCGCGUUGUAUUAGCUAGUUGGUAGUGUAAUGGACUACCAAGGCGAUGAUACAUAGCCGACCUGAGAGGGUGAUCGGCCACAUUGGGACUGAGACACGGCCCAAACUCCUACGGGAGGCAGCAGUAGGGAAUCUUCGGCAAUGGACGAAAGUCUGACCAAGCAACGCCGCGUGAGUGAAGAAGGUUUUCGGAUCGUAAAACUCUGUUGUUAGAGAAGAAUGUUGAUUAGAGUGGAAAAUUAAUCAAGUGACGGUAUCUAACCAGAAAGGGACGGCUAACUACGUG